UUUCUUUCUUUCCUUCUUUCCUUUCUUCCUUUUCUUUCCUUUCCCCAGUUGGUUUUUCCUAAUCCCCGAAACAUG
rnacentral:ribozyme from 14 species